rnacentral:rRNA from 1 species
AGCUUGUUGGUGGGGUGAUGGCCUACCAAGGCUUUGACGGGUAGCCGGCCUGAGAGGGUGACCGGUCACAUUGGGACUGAGAUACGGCCCAGACUCCUACGGGAGGCAGCAGUGGGGAAUAUUGCACAAUGGGCGAAAGCCUGAUGCAGCGACGCCGCGUGAGGGAUGACGGCCUUCGGGUUGUAAACCUCUUUCGCUCAUGGUCAAGCCGCAACAGUGGUUGUGGUGAGGGUAGUGGGUAAAGAAGCGCCGGCUAACUACGUGCCAGCAGCCGCGGUAAUACGUAGGGCGCGAGCGUUGUCCGGAAUUAUUGGGCGUAAAGGGCUUGUAGGCGGUUGGUCGCGUCUGCCGUGAAAUCCUCUGGCUUAAC